GAUGAACGCUGGCGGCGUGCCUAAUACAUGCAAGUCGAGCGAACAGACGAGGAGCUUGCUCCUCUGACGUUAGCGGCGGACGGGUGAGUAACACGUGGAUAACCUACCUAUAAGACUGGGAUAACUUCGGGAAACCGGAGCUAAUACCGGAUAACAUGUUGAACCGCAUGGUUCAACAGUGAAAGACAGUCUUGCUGUCACUUAUAGAUGGAUCCGCGCCGCAUUAGCUAGUUGGUAAGGUAACGGCUUACCAAGGCAACGAUGCGUAGCCGACCUGAGAGGGUGAUCGGCCACACUGGAACUGAGACACGGUCCAGACUCCUACGGGAGGCAGCAGUAGGGAAUCUUCCGCAAUGGGCGAAAGCCUGACGGAGCAACGCCGCGUGAGUGAAGAAGGUCUUCGGAUCGUAAAACUCUGUUAUUAGGGAAGAACAAAUGUGUAAGUAACUAUGCACGUCUUGACGGUACCUAAUCAGAAAGCCACGGCUAACUACGUG
rnacentral:rRNA from 1 species